AUUGCGCAUGCGGGAAACCCACGCUGAGGGAAGAAUCAUGGGAAAGAGUAGAGACGGGGUUCCACCGUGUUAGCCAGGAUGGUCUCGAUUUCCUGACCUCGUCAUCCUCCCGCCUUGGCCUCCCAAAGUGCUGGGAUUACAGGCUUGAGCCACCGCGCCCCGCUCUUUCGUGUUCCAAAGGCUUUUUAAAUAAACUUCCACUCCUGUCCUGGAUUCUGCUUUAUGGCCCUCAGUCGAAUUCUUUCUUCUGAGGAGGCAAGGACUGAAGUUGCUUCUGACCAGUACAGGAGAAAACGAAUACAGCAGGGAUGACUUCCACCAGCUCCACUUUGCAGCUCUGAGGUGUAUUAAAAAUGACCUGGAAGAAGUCAUGCCACGGGCCAGACCUUAACAUUCCUUUCGGCUUACCCCAGGAUUUCAGACAAAGCUUCACUUUCCUAACCAGUCACAAAUCAGAGAAUUUUUGAUUCCACCUAUGACCUGUGAGCUCCUGCUUCAAGAUAUUCCACCUUUUUUAGGCCAAACCAAUGUAUAACCUCCAAGUGUCGAUUUACACUUUCGACUGUAACUUCUGCUUUCCUGAGAUUUACCCCUGCCUUUAAAAACCCUUGCUUGUAAUCCCUCAGGGAGGCCGUGUAUUUAUUAAUCAUGAGCUGCCCAAUUCUCCUUGCUUGGUGCCCUGCAAAUAAACACCCUCUUUUCUCCCACUG
rnacentral:lncRNA from 1 species